GGAGGAAUAUUGGUCAAUGGCCGAGAGGCUGAACCAGCCAAGUCGCGUGAGGGAUGAAGGUUCUAUGGAUCGUAAACCUCUUUUAUAAGGGAAUAAAGUGACCCACGUGUGGGUUUUUGUAUGUACCUUAUGAAUAAGGAUCGGCUAACUCCGUGCCAGCAGCCGCGGUAAUACGGAGGAUCCGAGCGUUAUCCGGAUUUAUUGGGUUUAAAGGGUGCGUAGGCGGCCCUAACGUCAGCGUGAAGUCAUGUGCUCGAACCAUCAGAAUUGCCCGUUGAAACUGGGGGCGGUGCAUGUAUGUUUGAGGCAGGCGGAAUGCGUGGUGUAGCGGUGAAAUGCUUAGAUAUCACGCAGAACCCCCGAUUGCGAAGGCAGCCUGCCAAGCCAUGACUGACGCUGAUGCACGAAAGCGUGGGGAUCAAACAGGAUUAGAUACC
rnacentral:rRNA from 1 species